CAAGAAGUAGUUUAAUAAAGAAUGCCAGCUUUGGGUGUUGGUGGUGGGGAUGAAUCUUCCUUCUUGA
rnacentral:tRNA from 1 species